UUAAGCGACUAAGCGUACACGGUGGAUGCCCUGGCAGUCAGAGGCGAUGAAGGACGUGCUAAUCUGCGAUAAGCGUCGGUGAGGUGAUAUGAACCGUUAUAACCGGCGAUUUCCGAAUGGGGAAACCCAGUGUGUUUCGACACACUAUCAUUAACUGAAUCCAUAGGUUAAUGAGGCGAACCGGGGGAACUGAAACAUCUAAGUACCCCGAGGAAAAGAAAUCAACCGAGAUUCCCCCAGUAGCGGCGAGCGAACGGGGAGGAGCCCAGAGCCUGAAUCAGUGUGUGUGUUAGUGGAAGCGUCUGGAAAGGCGCGCGAUACAGGGUGACAGCCCCGUACACAAAAAUGCACAUAUUGUGAGCUCGAUGAGUAGGGCGGGACACGUGGUAUCCUGUCUGAAUAUGGGGGGACCAUCCUCCAAGGCUAAAUACUCCUGACUGACCGAUAGUGAACCAGUACCGUGAGGGAAAGGCGAAAAGAACCCCGGCGAGGGGAGUGAAAAAGAACCUGAAACCGUGUACGUACAAGCAGUGGGAGCCUCUUAAUGGGGUGACUGCGUACCUUUUGUAUAAUGGGUCAGCGACUUAUAUUCUGUAGCAAGGUUAACCGAAUAGGGGAGCCGAAGGGAAACCGAGUCUUAACUGGGCGUUAAGUUGCAGGGUAUAGACCCGAAACCCGGUGAUCUAGCCAUGGGCAGGUUGAAGGUUGGGUAACACUAACUGGAGGACCGAACCGACUAAUGUUGAAAAAUUAGCGGAUGACUUGUGGCUGGGGGUGAAAGGCCAAUCAAACCGGGAGAUAGCUGGUUCUCCCCGAAAGCUAUUUAGGUAGCGCCUCGUGAAUUCAUCUCCGGGGGUAGAGCACUGUUUCGGCAAGGGGGUCAUCCCGACUUACCAACCCGAUGCAAACUGCGAAUACCGGAGAAUGUUAUCACGGGAGACACACGGCGGGUGCUAACGUCCGUCGUGAAGAGGGAAACAACCCAGACCGCCAGCUAAGGUCCCAAAGUCAUGGUUAAGUGGGAAACGAUGUGGGAAGGCCCAGACAGCCAGGAUGUUGGCUUAGAAGCAGCCAUCAUUUAAAGAAAGCGUAAUAGCUCACUGGUCGAGUCGGCCUGCGCGGAAGAUGUAACGGGGCUAAACCAUGCACCGAAGCUGCGGCAGCGACACUAUGUGUUGUUGGGUAGGGGAGCGUUCUGUAAGCCUGUGAAGGUGGCCUGUGAGGGUUGCUGGAGGUAUCAGAAGUGCGAAUGCUGACAUAAGUAACGAUAAAGCGGGUGAAAAGCCCGCUCGCCGGAAGACCAAGGGUUCCUGUCCAACGUUAAUCGGGGCAGGGUGAGUCGACCCCUAAGGCGAGGCCGAAAGGCGUAGUCGAUGGGAAACAGGUUAAUAUUCCUGUACUUGGUGUUACUGCGAAGGGGGGACGGAGAAGGCUAUGUUGGCCGGGCGACGGUUGUCCCGGUUUAAGCGUGUAGGCUGGUUUUCCAGGCAAAUCCGGAAAAUCAAGGCUGAGGCGUGAUGACGAGGCACUACGGUGCUGAAGCGACAAAUGCCCUGCUUCCAGGAAAAGCCUCUAAGCAUCAGGUAACAUCAAAUCGUACCCCAAACCGACACAGGUGGUCAGGUAGAGAAUACCAAGGCGCUUGAGAGAACUCGGGUGAAGGAACUAGGCAAAAUGGUGCCGUAACUUCGGGAGAAGGCACGCUGAUAUGUAGGUGAAGCGACUUGCUCGUGGAGCUGAAAUCAGUCGAAGAUACCAGCUGGCUGCAACUGUUUAUUAAAAACACAGCACUGUGCAAACACGAAAGUGGACGUAUACGGUGUGACGCCUGCCCGGUGCCGGAAGGUUAAUUGAUGGGGUUAGCGGUAACGCGAAGCUCUUGAUCGAAGCCCCGGUAAACGGCGGCCGUAACUAUAACGGUCCUAAGGUAGCGAAAUUCCUUGUCGGGUAAGUUCCGACCUGCACGAAUGGCGUAAUGAUGGCCAGGCUGUCUCCACCCGAGACUCAGUGAAAUUGAACUCGCUGUGAAGAUGCAGUGUACCCGCGGCAAGACGGAAAGACCCCGUGAACCUUUACUAUAGCUUGACACUGAACAUUGAGCCUUGAUGUGUAGGAUAGGUGGGAGGCUUUGAAGUGUGGACGCCAGUCUGCAUGGAGCCGACCUUGAAAUACCACCCUUUAAUGUUUGAUGUUCUAACGUGGGCCCCUUACCGGGGUUGCGGACAGUGUCUGGUGGGUAGUUUGACUGGGGCGGUCUCCUCCUAAAGAGUAACGGAGGAGCACGAAGGUUGGCUAAUCCUGGUCGGACAUCAGGAGGUUAGUGCAAUGGCAUAAGCCAGCUUGACUGCGAGCGUGACGGCGCGAGCAGGUGCGAAAGCAGGUCAUAGUGAUCCGGUGGUUCUGAAUGGAAGGGCCAUCGCUCAACGGAUAAAAGGUACUCCGGGGAUAACAGGCUGAUACCGCCCAAGAGUUCAUAUCGACGGCGGUGUUUGGCACCUCGAUGUCGGCUCAUCAC
rnacentral:rRNA from 1 species